rnacentral:rRNA from 1 species
GAUGACGCUGACAGAUGCUUAACACAUGCAAGUCAACUUGAACUUCGGUUUGGGUGGCGGACGGUGAGUACGCGUAAAGAACUUGCCUCACAGAUAGGGACAACAUUUGGAAACGAAUGCUAAUACCUGAUAUUAUGAUUAUAUGGCAUCGUAUAAUUAUGAAAGCUAUAUGCGCUGUGAGAGAGCUUUGCGUCCCAUUAGCUAGUUGGAGAGGUAACGGCUCACCAAGGCGAUGAUGGGUAGCCGGCCUGAGAGGGUGAUCGGCCACAAGGGGACUGAGACACGGCCCUUACUCCUACGGGAGGCAGCAGUGGGGGAAUAUUGGACAAUGGACCAAGAGUCUGAUCCAGCAAUUCUGUGUGCACGAUGAAGUUUUUCGGAAUGUAAAGUGCUUUCAGUUUGGGAAGAAAAAAAUGACGGUACCAACAGAAGAAGUGACGGCUAAAUACGUGCCAGCAGCCGCGGUAAUACGUAUGUCACAAGCGUUAUCCGGAUUUAUUGGGGCGUAAAGCGCGUCUAGGUGGUUAUGUAAGUCUGAUGUGAAAAUGCAGGGCUCAACUCUGUAUUUGCGUUGGAAACUGUGUAACUAGAGUACUGGAGAGGUAAGCGGAACUACAAGUGUAGAGGUGAAAUUCGUAGAUAUUUGUAGGAAUGCCGAUGGGGAAGCCAGCUUACUGGACAGAUACUGACGCUGAAGCGCGAAAGCGUGGUAGCAAACAGG